rnacentral:rRNA from 1 species
UGAAGAAUUUGUCCAACGGCGGGGGAUAGCCGGCCCAACGGCCGGGUAAUACCGCGUACGACCCUCGGGGGGCAUCCCCUGAAGGUGAAAGCCGCAAGGCGCCGAUGGAGAACUUCGCGGCCUAUCAGCUAGUUGGUGAGGUCGUGGCUCACCGAGGCGACGACGGGUAGCUGGUCUGAGAGGAUGGCCAGCCACAUUGGGACUGAGACACGGCCCAGACUCCUACGGGAGGCAG